rnacentral:rRNA from 1 species
UUGCCUUGACAUCCAAUGAACUUUCUAGAGAUAGAUUGGUGCCUUCGGGAACAUUGAGAC